rnacentral:miRNA from 1 species
UUGCAAAAAUAUUUAUAUUUAACUCA